AACGAACGCUGGCGGCAGGCUUAACACAUGCAAGUCGAACGCAUGCCUUCGGGCAUGAGUGGCAGACGGGUGAGUAACGCGUGGGAACCUACCCCUUGGUACGGGAUAGCUCCGUGGAACUGGAGAUAAUACCGUAUGUUUCCUGAGGGACAAAGAUUCAUCGCCAAGGGAUGGGCCCGCGUCGGAUUAGCUAGGUGGGUGGGUAAGGGGCUACCAAGGUGACGAGCCGUAGCUGGUCUAAGAGGAUGAUCAGCCACAUUGGGGCUGAGACACGGCCCAAACUCCUACGGAAGGGAGCAGAGGGGAAUAUUGGACAAUGGGGGCGAGCCUGACCCAGCCAGGCCGGGUAAGUGAUGAAGGCCCUAGGGUUGUAAAGCUCUUUCACCCGUGACGAUAAUGACGGUAACCGGAGAAGAAGCCCCGGCUAACUUCGUG
rnacentral:rRNA from 1 species